rnacentral:rRNA from 1 species
GACGAACCACACAAACGUUAUUCGGAAUUACUGGGCUUAAAGGGUGCGUAGGCGGGUCUUUAAGUCAGGGGUGAAAUCCUGGAGCUCAACUCCAGAACUGCCUUUGAUACUGAAGAUCUUGAGUUCGGGAGAGGUGAGUGGAACUGCGAGUGUAGAGGUGAAAUUCGUAGAUAUUCGCAAGAACACCAGUGGCGAAGGCGGCUCACUGGCCCGAUACUGACGCUGAGGCACGAAAGCGUGGGGAGCAAACAGG